GCCGCGAUGGUCUAGUGGUUAGAGCUUCCGCCUCGGGUGCGGAAGGUCGCGGGUUCAAACCCCGGCCGAGUCA